UGAACGCUAGCGACAGGCUUAACACAUGCAAGUCGAGGGGUAACAGGGUAGCAAUACCGCUGACGACCGGCGCACGGGUGAGUAACGCGUAUGCAACCUGCCUAUAACUGGGGAAUAGCUCCCUGAAAGGGGAAUUAACACCGCAUAACACUAUUGAUUCGCAUGGAUUAGUAGUUAAAUGUAGCGAUACAGGUUAUAGAUGGGCAUGCGUGACAUUAGCUAGUUGGUGAGGUAACGGCUCACCAAGGCUACGAUGUCUAGGGGUUCUGAGAGGAAGGUCCCCCACACUGGUACUGAGACACGGACCAGACUCCUACGGGAGGCAGCAGUGAGGAAUAUUGGUCAAUGGGCGCAAGCCUGAACCAGCCAUGUCGCGUGCAGGAAGACUGCCCUAAUGGGUUGUAAACUGCUUUUAUAGUAGAAGAAACACAUCUACGCGUAGAUGUCUGCCAGUAUACUAUGAAUAAGCAUCGGCUAACUCCGUGCCAGCCGCAGC
rnacentral:rRNA from 1 species